rnacentral:rRNA from 1 species
UACAGAGGGUGCGAGCGUUGUCCGGAAUCACUGGGCGUAAAGGGCGCGUAGGCGGUCUGCUAAGCGUGUGGUGAAAGCUCGGGGCUCAACCCCGAGUCGGCCGUGCGAACUGGUGGACUGGAGCAUGUCAGAGGCAGGCGGAAUUCCGGGUGUAGCGGUGGAAUGCGUAGAGAUCCGGAAGAACACCGGUGGCGAAGGCGGCCCGCUGGGACAUUGCUGACGCUGAGGCGCGACAGCGUGGGGAGCAAACAGG